rnacentral:lncRNA from 1 species
AUGGCGAGGAUCUGGAUGCAGACAGAGAAGGCGGUCAUGCAAGAGCUACAGCGCAGACUGAGCAAUGUCGCUCACAGCAUUGAUGAGAUCAUGCAGAAGGAGUCUAGUCCUUUCUACGCUGCUGACAUCAUCACUGAGCUCAAGAGACAGUUUGCUUUCCUGUCUGGGGGAAGAGGACAGGAUGGAAGCCCUAUCAUUAUCUUUCCAGAGUUCCCUUCAUUUUGUGAAAUUGGAGACCAAGAGUUUCGUAAUGUUCUUACCUACCUGACAAGUACUCCCAGUCUGAGUGCAGCGGGUGUGGGCUUCAUCGUAGUGAUUGACAGGCGUAGAGAUCGAUGGACGUGUUUAAAGGGGACAUUACUGCGUAUCUCAGGCUGGUUUCCUGCUAAUCUUCGGCUUGUUCUGGUGCUGAGACCCAGUGCUAUCCUGCAGCGAACGUUGUCUGAUGUGUUCUUCAAACUCCACAAAGAUGACUUUAAAGUACCGGUUAUCAUGCUAAGCUCACUGGCUGAUCUGCACUUUUAUAUUGAGCGGAGUCAACUGACACAAGAACUGGGUGCACAUUUAAAACUUCACUGCAUAAACGAAACAAGUAAUAUACUGUACAUCAUAUGUGAAAUGAUCAUUUCUUUGUGCCUGAAGAGGAUGGCUGAGAGACUGCAAGUGUUCGGCAGGGAGCUGGCAGAAACCGAGCUCCCUAACAACCUCCUUACAGCCAGCAAUCUGCUCAAUGCACAAACCAGCAGAAAAGACAGUUUCAAAGAAGAGAUGGCUGGAGCUCUAAGCCAAGGACGCAGACUCUUGGAGAACAUCAGGGAACCGGUCCGCAGAGAUCCGGACAGCAGUCUAAACCCUGAUCAACUAGAGAACCUUGCUACAGUGCACAGGCUGUUAUCCCAGUUAAAUGAGAGCUCUACAGCAUUUGAUGAGUUCUGGAUUCAGCAUCAAAAUAAACUGGAUCAAUGUUUGAAACUCUGCCAGUUCGAGCACAACUUGCAACAGUUGCGAACAGACCUGGAGCAGACAACAGACACACUGAAUGCUUUCUCAGACGUUGGAAUAAGCUCUGUCCAAACAGAACACCUCCUUCAAGAGCUGACCAAUCAAGAGAAGAAAGCCUGUGUGAGUCUCCGCCCAUUGAAUAAUCUUAGUGUGUUAUGCUUACAGUCGCAAAUGAAUCUCUCUCAAAAUGUUGACAACACUGUUGCAGUGAAAUGCGAUGAGCUUCAGAGAGUGAGAGAGAAUCUCACCCAAGAGCUCAAAGACAAGAGGAUCAUGCUGACACAGGCUAUGGAGCUACAUAGAAGAUUGGAAAUGGUGUGUAAAUGGUGUGAUGAUGGGAUUUAUAUGCUAGCGUCACAGCCUCUUGACAAGUGCCAGUCACAGGAGGGGGCGGAGUCAGCACUGUCAGAGCUGGAGUGUUACCUGGAGACAGCCAAUGAGAAACAGCAGUGGGAGAUCAGCACAGUUUGGCUGGAAUAUGAGAACAUACUGAACAAUGAGCUCAGGGAGCAAGUAAAGCGUGCUUUUGAGAAGAAAGCCUCCCUACAGGAGAUUAUGUUUGAGAGGAGGAGGGUCAGUCUGAAGAAACUAGCAGCCAAACAAACACGACCUGUCCAACCUGUGGCCCCACGACCAGAGUCACUCUCAUCUCCUGGAAACCCCGGGUCGUGGUCGUCGUCGGCGACGGUCGGUACGUACCGUACCGGGUUCAAUGUUGUGUGUGUGUGUGUGUGUGUGUGUGUGUGUGUGUGUGUGUGUGUGUGUGUGUUUGUUCACAGGCAUGUAAUGAACGAGUUACUAGAAACAGAAAGAGCAUAUGUGGAAGAAGCCAUGAAAAUCCUGUUUCCACUACAUAAGGAUGUGUUAUUUGGGAACAUGCAGGAAAUUUAUAAUUUCCACAAAAGAAUAUUCCUCAAAGAGCUGGAAACUUACACUGACUGCCCUGAGCUUGUGGGCCGCUGCUUUCUGGACUGGAUGGGGGAGCUGCAGAUUUAUGAAAAAUACUGUCACAACAAGCCUCGUUCUGAGAGCCUCUGGAGGCAGUGCUCAGACUGCACCUUCAUCCAGGAGUGUCAGAAGAAACUAGAGCACAAACUAGGACUGGACUCAUACUUACUGAAGCCUGUGCAGAGGAUCACUAAAUACCAGCUCCUGCUGAAGGAGAUGAUUAAGUACAGUAAAGGCCGUGAGUGCUCAGUGGAGCUGCAGGCAGCUCUUUCCUCCAUACUGGGUAUCCUGAAGGCUGUAAAUGACUCAAUGCACCUCAUUGCCAUCACAGGAUAUGAGGGUAACCUUGGAGUCCUGGGUCGCCUACUGAUGCAAGGGUCAUUCAGUGUGUGGGCGGAGCAUAAGAGAGGUCACGUGAAGGUCAUGGAGCUUGCCAGGUUUAAGCCCAUGCAAAGACACCUGUUCCUGCACGAGAAAGCUCUGCUCUUUUGCAAGAGGCGAGAGGAGAGCGGAGAGGGAUACGAGAAAGCGCCUUCAUAUAGCUUCAAGCAGGAGCUCAGCGUAAGUGUGUCUUCAACAUACACUCAUGCUAAAGGGGACAGCAAGAAGUUUGAGAUCUGGUCCAGAUCAAGGGAUGAGGUCUACACAGUACAGGUGAGCACAAAAGAGGCUAAGACCAUCUGGGUAACAGAAAUCCAGAAACUUCUAACAGGACAGCUUGAGACCUGUAAAGGUAUGGACCUUUGGUUUGUAGAUAAGUAG